GCUGCCAGAUCCUAAAUCUUGAACUAAAACCUAAAUACAAUCACGACUCACGCACAUGCCACAUCGCACUCAGCUUGUCGGUCAUCGCCGGAGUGCCUCCCAUCAGCCUCCCGUCAACCCUCACCGACUCUCUUACAAAAAGUAUGGAGUCUCAAGGCGAACAAAAUCCAAUGUGUUCAUCUUCAAGUACAAUUUCUAUUGAGAUUGAGAGUCGAGGGCUUAUGCAGUCUGAUGAAGUUAAUAUGGAAGUUGUUGUUGAAACAGGUAAAAGAAAACUUAGUUCUGAUGCAUGGAAACAUUACAAAGUGGUGAAGCUUAAUGGUGCUCGCUUUGCUGUUUGUAAGUAUUGUAACACUCGUAUCAAAUCAACAAGAAUGUGGGACAUCAUCUUUAUGGGAUCAUAUUCGUAGAUGUCGUAAGAAGCCAAGUAACUUAGAAGACGGGGGUGGUUUGGAGGGUGAUGAUGGUAGCCAACAACAUUAUUUUGAUCAAGAUAUUUCACGUAGGGAACUUGCUCAUGCCAUCAUUUUACAUGAAUACCCUUUGUCUAUUGUCGAUCAUGUUGGAUUUAGGAAGUUUGUUGCUAGUCUUCAGCCAUUGUUUAAAAUAGUGUCUAGGAACACAAUCAAGAAUGAUAUUUUGAAGAUUUUUGACAAUUUGAAAUCAAAAACUUCUAAGUUGUUGGAAAAACUCACAAGUAAAAUUGCAAUAACAACUGAUAUGUGGACUUUAAACAAUACAAAAAAGGGUUCAUGGCUAUUACGGCACAUUUUAUUGAUGAUUCAUGGAGGCUUCAAAGCCAUAUUCUUAGAUUUAUUUAUGUUCCUGCUCCACAUGAUAAGGAUACUUUAUGUAGUGUGUUGCUUAAUUGCCUGUUAGAGUGGAAUCUUGAAAGAAGAAUAUCAACAAUUACAGUUGAUAAUUCUAGUACAAACAAUGCUAUGAUGAAAAUCUUGUUAGAUGAGAAACUUUGUAAGAGGGAUUUAUUGUUGAUGGGUCGAAUUUUGCAUGUGCGUUGUGUCGCACACAUCUUAAUUUGAUUGUGCAAGAAAGACUAAAGGUGAUAGAAGAUGGUAUUAGUAAUGUGCGUAACAGUGUCUUAUAUUGGAUAGCAUCUUUAGGCAGAAUUGAAAGAUUCGAAGAAGCUGCACGGUUGCUACAUAUUUCCUGUGCUAAAAAGUUGGAGUAUGAUUGCCCUACUCGUUGGAACUCAACAUAUCUUAUGUUGAGAACAACCCUAAAUUACAAAGAGGUGUUUACAAAGUUGAAUUUAAAUGACAUCAAUUAUCGUUAUUUUCCAACCGAAGGGCAAUGGAGUGCAGCACAUGAAGUUUGUGAAAAGUUGCAGCUAUUUCACCAUAUCACUGAACAAUUCUCAGGGAGUUAAUAUCCAACUUCAACUCAAUACUUUUCAAAAGUUUGUGAUAUUAAGCUAGAAUUGGAAGCUUGGGUGAAAAGUUUAAAUUCUUUGAUUAGCUCUAUGGCAUCAUCAAUGUUGUUGAAAUUUAAAAAAUAUUGGAAUGAUAUGCAUAUUUUGAUGGGGGUAGCUACUAUCUUUGAUCCGAGAUUUAAGAUGAAGUUGGUUGAGUUUUAUCUUGCACAAAUUUCUGGUGAAGAAGCUUUACAUAAAAUUCAAGAAGUUCGAAACCAUUGUUUUGAUCUCUUUCAAGAGUAUACGAGCAGAGUGGUUGCUUCACAUGAGUCAUUUCAAGCAUCUAGUUCUAAUGAAGUUGCUGCUAGUUUCGAUAGGUUUGUCGCUUCGAGUAGCGUGAAUGUGGACCCAAAAUCGGAGUUGGAGUCAUAUUUAGAAGAAGAAGUGCUACCUCGUACGCCAUCAUUUGACAGUUUAAGCUGGUGAAAGACAAACGGAUUAAAAUUUCCUACUUUGCAAAAGAUAACUCGUGACUUCUUAGUCAUUCCUGUCUCUACCGUUGCUUCAGAAUCGGUCUUUAGCACUAGGGGGAGAUUGAUUAGCCCGCAUCGUAGUAGACUUUAUCCUACUACUUUGGAGGCUUUGAUGUGUGCUCGCACUUGGUUAUGGAACGAGAUAAAUGGUUCGUGUUCAAGCAUUGAUAGAGUUUCAUGUCCGACGAUGCUUGAUGAAGAAGAAGAUCCAUAUGUUUCAGUUGCUUGAUAACUGAAGGAAGUCGGAGAUGCAUUAUUUCUGAUGAAGAAGAAAAUCCCAGUGUUUCAAUUUUUGCUUUGUUGUAACAGACUAAUCAGAGUUCUCAUUUAGUAUUUUGGGAUUAGUUUUCGCAAAGCAAUGGUUCCUUUUUCUCGUAUCUUAAACUUCUUAAACUGUAAAAUACUUGCUAGCUUUUCUUGCUA